AAACGUUACCUUUUAUAUCGCGGGCCUUGAGAUGAAGACCCAGCGUUUACAUUUUUUGGAGUCUCACGGGAGUGAGAU
rnacentral:snRNA from 13 species